GGUUUGCGUGGCCGAAAUCUCCAGGCAUAAAACUGUAAAUUUUAUUAUGAAACCUUUCCCAAACCA
rnacentral:tRNA from 1 species